GAUCCAUUAGCUCAGUUGGUUUAGCAGCGCUCGACUGUUAGUCUUUGGCGUUCAACUGUACAACAAGCGACAUCGAGAGGUCGCUGGUUCGAGUCCAGCAUGGAUCG
rfam:Tilletiaria anomala TBC 951 K437scaffold_57, whole genome shotgun sequence.